GGCGAUGCUGGAGCGCGCCGGCGGCCUGCGCGCGCUGGAACUGCGCGCGCUCGAAGAGGCCGCCCGGGGCCGGCUGCGCCCGGCCGUCACCC
rnacentral:tRNA from 1 species